UACGAAGGGGGCUAGCGUUGCUCGGAAUUACUGGGCGUAAAGCGCACGUAGGCGGUCUUUUAAGUCGGGGGUGAAAUCCUGGAGCUCAACUCCAGAACUGCCUUCGAUACUGGAAGACUUGAGUCCGGGAGAGGUGAGUGGAACUGCGAGUGUAGAGGUGAAAUUCGUAGAUAUUGGGAAGAACACCGGUGGCGAAGGCGGCUCACUGGCUCAUUUCUGACGCUCAGGCGCGACAGCGUGGGGAUCAAACAGG
rnacentral:rRNA from 1 species